GGCGGCGUGCUAAUACAUGCAAGUCGAGCGAAUGGAUUAAGAGCUUGCUCUUAUGAAGUUAGCGGCGGACGGGUGAGUAACACGUGGGUAACCUGCCCAUAAGACUGGGAUAACUCCGGGAAACCGGGGCUAAUACCGGAUAACAUUUUGAACCGCAUGGUUCGAAAUUGAAAGGCGGCUUCGGCUGUCACUUAUGGAUGGACCCGCGUCGCAUUAGCUAGUUGGUGAGGUAACGGCUCACCAAGGCAACGAUGCGUAGCCGACCUGAGAGGGUGAUCGGCCACACUGGGACUGAGACACGGCCCAGACUCCUACGGGAGGCAGCAGUAGGGAAUCUUCCGCAAUGGACGAAAGUCUGACGGAGCAACGCCGCGUGAGUGAUGAAGGCUUUCGGGUCGUAAAACUCUGUUGUUAGGGAAGAACAAGUGCUAGUUGAAUAAGCUGGCACCUUGACGGUACCUAACCAGAAAGCCACGGCUAACUACGUGCCAGCAGCCGCGGUAAUACGUAGGUGGCAAGCGUUAUCCGGAAUUAUUGGGCGUAAAGCGCGCGCAGGUGGUUUCUUAAGUCUGAUGUGAAAGCCCACGGCUCAACCGUGGAGGGUCAUUGGAAACUGGGAGACUUGAGUGCAGAAGAGGAAAGUGGAAUUCCAUGUGUAGCGGUGAAAUGCGUAGAGAUAUGGAGGAACACCAGUGGCGAAGGCGACUUUCUGGUCUGUAACUGACACUGAGGCGCGAAAGCGUGGGGAGCAAACAGGAUUAG
rnacentral:rRNA from 1 species